rnacentral:rRNA from 1 species
UAAGGAAUAUUGGUCAAUGGACGCAAGUCUGAACCAGCCAUGCCGCGUGAAGGAUGAAGGUCCUCUGGAUUGUAAACUUCUUUUAUCUGGGACGAAAACGGGAUUUUUAUCUCAAUUGACGGUACCAGAGGAAUAAGCACCGGCUAACUCCGUGCCAGCAGCCGCGGUAAUACGGAGGGUGCAAGCGUUAUCCGGAUUCACUGGGUUUAAAGGGUGCGUAGGCGGAUAUGUAAGUCAGUGGUGAAAUCAACGGGCUCAACCUGUUAACUGCCAUUGAUACUGUGUAUCUUGAAUAUGAGAGAGGUAGGCGGAAUGUUGCAUGUAGCGGUGAAAUGCUUAGAUAUGCUACGGAACACCGAUUGCGAAGGCAGCUUACUAUUUCGUAAUUGACGCUGAGGCACGAAAGCGUGGGUAGCGAACA